UACCGAUGGUGAUGGCACAUACUCAACAACUCCUUAAAUCUCUUCUAAACCUGAUACAAAGUUUCACUAUCCUUUUGUGCAAAGGUGGAGAUCUACCUCUUCAAAGCA